GCCAGUGUGGUUAAGUGGUUAGAGCAUUGGCUUGACCACCAAAAGGUCACGGAUUUGAUUCCCGGUCAUGGGCA
rnacentral:tRNA from 1 species